GAUGAACGUUGGCGGUGUGCCUAAUACAUGCAAGUCGAACGGAGACUGUAGCAAUACUGUCUUAGUGGCGAACGGGUGAGUAACGCGUUGGUGAUCUGCCUCGAAGUGGGGAAUAACGUUCCGAAAGGAACGCUAAUACCGCAUAGUCUCUCUAUGAUUAGAAAGUAGAGAGUAAAGGAUUUAUUCGCUUCGAGAGGAGCCUGCGUCCCAUCAGCUAGUUGGUAGGGUAACGGCCUACCAAGGCAAUGACGGGUAGGGGACCUGAGAGGGUGGCCCCCCCACAAUGGAACUGAAACACGGUCCAUACACCUACGGGUGGCAGCAGUAGGGAAUAUUAGUAAUGGGCGAAAGCCUGAACUAGCAACGCCGCGUGUGCGAAGAAGGCCUUCGGGUCGUAAAGCACUUUUGAGAGGAUGAGGAAGGACGGUACUCUCAGAAUAAGUCUCGGCUAACUACGUG
rnacentral:rRNA from 1 species